AAGUGUUACCGCUCUUUUAGAAUUUGUCUAGCACGGCU
rnacentral:snRNA from 1 species